AUUGAACGCUGGCGGCAUGCUUUACACAUGCAAGUCGAACGGUAACAGGCCGCAAGGUGCUGACGAGUGGCGAACGGGUGAGUAAUGCAUCGGAACGUGCCCAGUCGUGGGGGAUAACGCAGCGAAAGCUGCGCUAAUACCGCAUACGAUCUAUGGAUGAAAGCGGGGGACCGUAAGGCCUCGCGCGAUUGGAGCGGCCGAUGUCAGAUUAGGUAGUUGGUGGGGUAAAGGCUCACCAAGCCAACGAUCUGUAGCUGGUCUGAGAGGACGACCAGACACACUGGGACUGAGACACGGCCCAGACUCCUACGGGAGGCAGCAGUGGGGAAUUUUGGACAAUGGGCGCAAGCCCGAUCCAGCAAUGCCGCGUGCAGGAAGAAGGCCUUCGGGUUGUAAACUGCUUUUGUACGGAACGAAACGGCUCUGGUUAAUACCUGGGGCUAAUGACGGUACCGUAAGAAUAAGCACCGGCUAACUACGUGCCAGCCGCCGCCGUAAGAC
rnacentral:rRNA from 1 species